UACGUAGGGGGCAAGCGUUGUCCGGAAUUAUUGGGCGUAAAGCGCGCGUAGGCGGCCCUGUAAGUCCGUUGUGAAAGUCAAAGGCUCAACCUUUGAAAGCCGAUGGAUACUGCAGGGCUAGAGUCCGGAAGAGGCGAGUGGAAUUCCUGGUGUAGCGGUGGAAUGCGCAGAUAUCAGGAGGAACACCAAUAGCGAAGGCAGCUCGCUGGGACGGUACUGACGCUAAGGCGCGAAAGCGUGGGGAGCGAACAGG
rnacentral:rRNA from 1 species